GACGAACGCUGGCGGCGUGCUUAACACAUGCAAGUCGAACGGAAAGGCCCUGCUUUUGUGGGGUGCUCGUGUGGCGAACGGGUGAGUAACACGUGAGUAACCUGCCCUUGACUUUGGGAUAACUUCAGGAAACUGGGGCUAAUACCGGAUAGGAGCUCCUGCUGCAUGGUGGGGGUUGGAAAGUUUCGGCGGUUGGGGAUGGACUCGCGGCUUAUCAGCUUGAUGGUGGGGUAGUGGCUUACCAAGGCUUUGACGGGUAGCCGGCCUGAGAGGGUGACCGGCCACAUUGGGACUGAGAUACGGCCCAGACUCCUACGGGAGGCAGCAGUGGGGAAUAUUGCGCAAUGGGCGGAAGCCUGAUGCAGCAACGCCGCGUGCGGGAUGACGGCCUUCGGGUUGUAAACCGCUUUCGCCUGUGCCGAAGCGUGAGUGACGGUAAUGGGUAAAGAAGCACCGGCUAACUACGUG
rnacentral:rRNA from 1 species